rnacentral:rRNA from 1 species
GGCUCAGGAUGAACGCUGGCGGCGUGCUUAACACAUGCAAGUCGAACGGGAUCCCUGGCAGCUUGCUGCCGGGGUGAGAGUGGCGAACGGGUGAGUAAUGCGUGACCGACCUGCCCCAUGCACCGGAAUAGCUCCUGGAAACGGGUGGUAAUGCCGGAUGUUCCACAUGAGCGCAUGCGAGUGUGGGAAAGGCUUUUUGCGGCAUGGGAUGGGGUCGCGUCCUAUCAGCUUGUUGGUGGGGUAACGGCCUACCAAGGCGUUGACGGGUAGCCGGCCUGAGAGGGCGACCGGCCACAUUGGGACUGAGAUACGGCCCAGACUCCUACGGGAGGCAGCAGUGGGGAAUAUUGCACAAUGGGCGCAAGCCUGAUGCAGCGACGCCGCGUGCGGGAUGGAGGCCUUCGGGUUGUAAACCGCUUUUGUUCAAGGGCAAGGCACGGUCUUUGGCCGUGUUGAGUGGAUUGUUCGAAUAAGCACCGGCUAACUACGUGCCAGCAGCCGCGGUAAUACGUAGGGUGCAAGCGUUAUCCGGAUUUAUUGGGCGUAAAGGGCUCGUAGGCGGUUCGUCGCGUCCGGUGUGAAAGUCCAUCGCUUAACGGUGGAUCCGCGCCGGGUACGGGCGGGCUUGAGUGCGGUAGGGGAGACUGGAAUUCCCGGUGUAACGGUGGAAUGUGUAGAUAUCGGGAAGAACACCAAUGGCGAAGGCAGGUCUCUGGGCCGUUACUGACGCUGAGGAGCGAAAGCGUGGGGAGCGAACAGGAUUAGAUACCCUGGUAGUCCACGCCGUAAACGGUGGAUGCUGGAUGUGGGGCCCUUUUUCCGGGU